rnacentral:rRNA from 1 species
GAUGAACGCUAGCGGCAGGCCUAACACAUGCAAGUCGAGGGAGGAGCUUUCGGGCUUUGACCGGCGUACGGGUGCGUAACGCGUAUACAAUCUGCCUUUCACAUAGGGAUAGCUCGAAGAAAUUUGGAUUAAUACCUAAUGGUAUAUAGAGGUGGCAUCACCUCUAUAUUAAUGCUGAGGCGGUGAAAGAUGAGUAUGCGUUCUAUUAGCUAGUUGGAGAGGUAACGGCUCCACAAGGCGACGAUAGAUAGGGGCUCUGAGAGGGAUAUCCCCCACACUGGUACUAAGAUACAGACCAGACUCCUACGGGGGACAGCGGUGUAGAAGAUUGGACGAUGAAGGGAGAACUAAUCAAGCCAUGCCGCGUGCAGAAAGACGGCCUUAUGAAUUGUAAACUGCUUUUACAGGAGAAGAAUAGGGAAUACGCGUAGUUUGAUGACGGUACUCUGCGAAUAAGCAUCGGCUAACUCCGUG